GUGUGUCAAUCAUGAGUACUGUGACAGCAUUAUUGUCACAAAUCAACAUAUUAGCCUUCUUCAAAGUUAGCCAACACUAGUUAUCUAACCAACUAGUUAACAUUACCGCCUGUAGUUUAUUGUGCAUGUGUAUUAUUAGGGUGUGGGUGCGUGUGGGUGUGUCUCUGUGUGUGUCUGACACCCUGGAUAAGAAAACCAAAAGAGAGAGAGUGUUUUGAUUGACAUGCAAAACCUGUUGAUCAAUGUGUUCAAGGUUCUUUCUUUUAUCAUCUCAAUAAAUAAAA